ensembl:lncRNA
GGCUGUGGCUCUCCAGGACCAAUGCUCGCCACCCCUGGUCUAGACAGUGUACAAAUAUAUGACAUUUUUAUGGUGGUCUGUCAGUUAUUAUUUAUAUGAAAACAGAGGACGACUGAAGUAUGAACAAAAUGCAACAAUACUGAGAUGUUGCACAAUGCAGGUAGUGUUUUGGAGCCUUUUUUUCUGACUGUCGGCCGAAAUGUCAUCAGAACGGUGAUAACAACAACUGAUGACUAAUCAGGUGGAGUCAUUAGUAACUUAACCUUAACAGCGAACUAACGCAAAAUACUGAGGUUUAUGCCGAGAAUCAACCUUGGUGGCAUCUAAUGCCAUUCAAAGUCAUAGAUCAGAUGGAAUUCUGGAAAGAGGGUGCAAAGAAAAAGCAUCAGCCUGAAUACCCUCCUGGUGUUUCUUAUCAGAGAACUUGUCAGAGAACCGGUAUAAUUACCAAACAUUUAACACAACAUCACAAACAAAAUUUUUACUGUAUUUUAUUUUGUCAUGCUACAGAUACAAAGUCCCCAGGGGACUGUCGGGACCUUUUUCAGCUAGUGCAUGUUAAAGGUGAAGAUUUGUAAUUUGUGUUUUAAAAAGAAAAUGUUGAACAACUAAAAAAAGAAUAUUAUCAGGACAAUUUGGAAGAGGC